UAAGGACAUUUGUGUUGAGAUGAGUUGAGUUCAGUUUAUUUACCACGUACAGUUGUACAGUAAGUGGCAGGGACAGGGGAAAAAAGCUGUAUAAAAACGGCUUGACAAAGCCCCACAUCCCCAUGUUCACUGUGACAACAAAACGGCAAAAGCAAAGUGAACCA
rnacentral:lncRNA from 1 species